ACUGUACUCCCUUCGUUCGGAAUUACUUGUACAAAAGUAGAUAAAAAUGAAUGUAUCUACAAUUAAAAUACAUUUAGAUACAUUAAUUUUUUAGACGAGUAAUUCCGAACGAAGGGAGUAUUAU
rfam:Triticum aestivum genome assembly, contig: Triticum_aestivum_CS42_TGACv1_scaffold_500792_6BL